AGCUAAAGCUUUGGAGGCCACUGCUCUAGCAAGACACUGUCUCCUCUUCUCCCUGGAGGCAUCCAGUGCUCUGGAGAGCCAGACAUGAGCCACCCAGGAGACACUGCUCUGCCCAGGGAAUGGUUGGCUCGAGUCCGCAGGUUCACCAAUGGAAUCCUGUUGAGGACGAGAAGAAAAAGAAAGAUUAAGUCAUGACAGGGAAUUUGCACCAUGUCUUGCUUCACUGCUUGGAUGAUCUCUCACAGCCUAGAGGUUUCCUCCUCCUUCCCCCUUGGCUGUGGAGCUGUGGAUUCCUGGGGGAGCGGGGUAUCAGUGACCUCCUCCUCCUUCUCUGCAGCUUCUGAAAGCCCCAAAGCCAGGAUGAAAUCAAGCCAAACCAGCCAUCCUGUGCUGUGGUGCCUGGACAAAGCCACUCAAGUCUUUGGCACGUGUCCUGUGCUGGUCUGCAGUGCUGUGGUGCUCCUGCCUCUGUCUGGGUGCUCCUCCAGCACCACUGCCACCAGGCAAGAGAAGUUUUCCUUUUCAUCUCUCCCUUCAGGUAACUCCUGAGAGCUUCCACUGACUGCUCCACUCCUCAUCUACCCAGCCCAGGGCUGCACUGAGGCAGCCACACCAGGCUGCAGACAGACUGACUUGUCUGCCUGCAGGAGCAGCUGCCGGCAACUGCUGCUGAGGUGUGACAUCUACCAAGGAGCUGGUGCUCCAGUGGGGCCCAGGAGCCAGCACAGGCAAUCUGCUGGAAAGCUCCACCAGCUGCUUGCCACGGGCAGCAUCACCUGCUGUGGGGAGGGACGGUGCCCUGGCAGGGACCACGCCUGCAGCACAGGAACCCUCCCCGUGGCUCCUGCUGGCGCAGGAGGAAUCUGACCCCAGGAAACAGCCUAAACAUCUGCUCCCUGUGUACCUGGAUGAGUUUCACCAGGUUUCCUGACACAACCGUGGCGCUGCCUGCAGCUUUCUGGGCUGGAGAUGCUCAGCAUCUUAUAUCUGCUGCCUCAACUGCUCAGCCCAGCCUGAUGAUGCUGUCAGCAUCACCCAAGGCCAAGUUGCCAGCUGGGCAGUCCUCACACCAGGGUGACAGACUGUCAGAUGUGAAGUUCAUAUUAAAUUCCAACUUGGGUCCCAGUGGUCAUCUCCACAAAACAUCUGCAGCACCUCUGUCCUGCCACCCCUGUCCUGGGACAUGUCACCUGCCUUGUGCCUCCAGCUCUGGCCCCAUACCAUGAGGAACACUAAUGUGCCAACAAGACAGCUCAGAGCUGUGAAGUGCUGUCAGUUAAAAUGUGUGCAACACUAGGAGAAAGGGGCUGUGAGGAGAAAGCUGCAUGUAGCCCCUCCAGCCAGAAAGCUGCACAUGCUCCAGAGCAUCCUUCUCCUCUGCUGUGGUGCAGUGGGUCAACAGCAACUGUCCCCUUCAGGUGACCUUGCUGCAGCUGUGGAUGCCAGCCAGGAAAUACUCAUUCCCCCGGAAGCGGUGCAGCCCAAGCAGCUGCAUCUCCUUUUCCACCAGCCUCUCCCUUAGAAACAAGAGCUGGAGAGGCACCCUCCGUGCCUCCACUCCUCUGCUUCCCUCCAUCCCACUGCUCCUCUGGCACUUGGCAGCUGGUGACAGCACAAGGCAACCACGGUGGCAGGGACAGCCUAGCAGGGAGCUCAUCUCCAUGCCAUCUGCACCUUACACAGUGACACAUGAGACUUGGAAUGCUCAUUUCACCUGAGGGAUUUCCCACCAGCACUUAUGCAAUGUGUCCUAAAAACACCCUGGUGGAAACACACCUGUGCAGAGUAAGCAUGCAGAGAACAGGUAGAGCAGGUUUGAGAUCAGUCUCAUUUUGUUAUCCUUAAUGAAACCAAACAGCAGCUUCCAGAAUUGCAUCUGCAAUUGAAGUGCCAUUACAGAGCUAAUGCUCCAGGUACGAGCCCGAUAGAUUUUUCCAGAGCGCGUCAAUGUGCGUUUUAUGGAUUCCAUGAACACGGAUCAAUGAGAAUUUCAAGGAUUUAAUAAGGCGUAAUGGAAUGGCUUCAGGCUAUUUAAAGAAAUCUAUGGAGGUGACCAGGGCACAGUCUUUGGCCCAGGGUUUCACAGGACCUGGGGCAGGAGCAGUGGGAUCCACACGGGAUUCCUACAGUGCUUCAAGCUGCUCCUUCCUUCCCUCUACCUGAGGCAUGGAAAGCUGUAGAUGGUAUAGAGUGUAGCUGGCUUGCUUUAUGUGUUAUUUCUUUUUAAUUCACUUUAAGCCAAUGGAAAGACUUCCCAAACUACAAAACUGAGGGUGGAAAAGGCCCAGUGGGUUAUUGCUGAGGUGGGUGUUCCCUGCAGAUCCUCCAUGCUCAUUGUCCUGCUGCCCUCACUCCUGGCACAAGCUCCUGCCUGGGCUCCUUUGCCCUCUGUCCCCUGAGACAAUGGCCACAACAACAGUCAGAGAAAAAACAUGAGCAUAGCAGUGGAUGGGGAGUGAGACCCUUUCACCUUCAUCAGUGAAGCAUCUGCAGCCAGAAGAGGCUCUGGGAGGACAGUGGGGCCAUGCCAGGUGAAUCCCUUCUCUCUGCCCCAUUGUGCUGGCACACACCUCACCUGCCCUGUCUAGACACCACAGCCCCAGCAUGGCCAAGAUCAUUAACUUUUUAUUCCCUUCCAUUCUAAUCUAAUUAUAUUUCUGUGUUCAAUAGCUGUGCAUAAUGUUAAACAGGCUAUUCCAAGUGAGCUGCAGCCAGGGAAGGCUGGAAAUUUCAUUUACACUGAAUAUAUGAUUCAUUACAGCAGGGACUUAGGACAGAGCAAUUAAUUCACCUGAGCACGUGGCUCAAGCGGGCACUGCUGCCCAGGGCAAGCUGGCACACACAGACUUUUCCUGCCACUGCUGUCACCUGUGCCACCUUCAAAAGUGACACAAGGAGGUGAAAACGGCUCAGGCCAACUCAACAAAAGAGAAGAAAAUCCCCAAAGAUUGUACUGUUGCAACCAGAAUAUCACUGUACUCCUUCAGUCACAGCAACACCCCAGGCAUGACCGGCUGCUGGGGACUGUGCUUGAAGGGUUGGCCUUGCAGAG